CCUACGGGAGGCAGCAGUGGGGAAUAUUGCACAAUGGGGGAAACCCUGAUGCAGCGACGCCGCGUGAGUGAAGAAGGAAUUCGGGAUGUAAAGCUCUAUCAGCAGGGAAGAAAAUGACGGUACCUGAGUAAGAAGCCCCGGCUAACUACGUGCCAGCAGCCGCGGUAAUACGUAGGGGGCAAGCGUUAUCCGGAUUUACUGGGUGUAAAGGGAGCGUAGACGGCCGUGCAAGUCUGGAGUGAAAGGCGGGGGCUCAACCCCCGGACUGCUCUGGAAACUGUCCGGCUGGAGUGCAGGAGAGGUAAGUGGACUUCCUAGUGUAGCGGUGACCUGCGUCGAUAUUAG
rnacentral:rRNA from 1 species